AACACUGUUAACCUGCGGUACCUGCGGAAGGAUCAUUACGAGAGUGUCACCACUCCCAACCCAUUGUUUACCUACCCGUCCACCGUGCUUCGGCAGGCAGCCCUGUGGGACAGAGCCUCGCCCCCCUCCGCGGGGGGUGCCUGCCGCUGGCCAACCAACAACUCUAGCUGUUUUAGUACCAUCUGAGUCUUCCACAAAUGAACAAAACUUUCAACAACGGAUCUCAGAUCGGAAGAGCAC
rnacentral:misc_RNA from 1 species